UGGAAGUAAAAAGUCGUAACAAGGUCUCCGUUGGUGAACCAGCGGAGGGAUCAUUAAAAAGCGAGUCUCGCGACUCUCAAACCCUAUGUGAACUUAUUCAUGUCUGAGCUGCUUCGGCAGGGCGUUUCGAAAGAAGCACCUGCCGGCCGGCUCGCCAACCAAACCCUUUGUUAUCUAUGGACCUCUGAGUUAAAAACAAAAUCUAUUAAAACUUUCAACAACGGAUCUCUUGGUUCUGGCAUCGAUGAAGAACGCAGCGAAAUGCGAUAAGUAAUGUGAAUUGCAGAAUUCAGUGAAUCAUCGAAUCUUUGAACGCACAUUGCGCCCUCUAGUAUUCUGGAGGGCAUGCCUGUUCGAGCGUCAUUUCAACCCCUCUGUACCCUUGGGUAUAGGUGUUGGGGACCCGCGGAAACGCGGCCCCCUAAAGACAUUGGCGGACCUCCUAAGGUAUCCGAGCGCAGUAGUAACAUUCUCGCUCUGGGAACCCGGGAUGGCUUCCUGCCGUUAAACCCCCAAACUUUUAAGGUGACCUCGGAUCAG
rnacentral:rRNA from 1 species